UUUAUAUAAAAAUAUUUAUUCAGGUGACAGUAAAAGAACAUGAUUGUUGUUGGCUGAUUGUUUUAAAUGAUCAGAUUUGAUAUUUAUUCUUUUAUCUCUGUAACAUUAAUAAACUACAGUAUUGUGCAAAAGGCUUCAAAUAUAAUGAAAUAUUAUAUUUUAGUGUUUAAUGAGGAAUCAACGUUAACUUAAUCUCCACAUUACAAGAGAGAGAGAGAGUUAAUGUUGUGAUCUGGAGUGUGUUCACUGUGAGAUUUGACUUCCAGGAACAGUGUGUGUAUAAAACACAAAAUAAGAGAAGUGUGAACACUAUCACAGGAAGUGUUUAUGUUAAAAUGAUGAUUACAUGCUGGUUAAAUUAUUAAAACUAAUAAAUGACAACAAAUAUCUGUGUAUAUAAAAAUGUCUCUGUUACUGAACACUUUUAGGAACAUUUUCAUUUUCUCUGUAACAUUUAAUGGUUUUUAAUAUUUGUUUGUGUCAGUAAUAAAACCUAGUAUUUCUUUUCUCAGUACUGUAUAUGAACAGCAGGGGGCAGAGUUGUGUGUAAUAGAUAUAAUUUAUAAUGUAAUUCCAGGACAACGCCCUUUAAAACCAGGGAACAGAUCUGUGUGAGCUAAAAUGAACAAACUAAAGUAAUGAUGAACUGC